CGCCUCCUAAAGAGUAACGGAGGCGCCCCAAGGUUCCCUCAGAAUGGUUGGAAAUCAUUCGAAGAGUGCAAAGGCAGAAGGGAGCUUGACUGCGAGACCUACAAGUCGAGCAGGGACGAAAGUCGGGCUUAGUGAUCCGGUGGUACCGCAUGGAAGGGCCAUCGCUCAACGGAUAAAAGCUACCCUGGGGAUAACAGGCUUAUCUCCCCCAAGAGUCCACAUCGACGGGGAGGUUUGGCACCUCGAUGUCGGCUCAUCGCAUCCUGGGGCUGAAGUAGGUCCCAAGGGUUGGGCUGUUCGCCCAUUAAAGCGGUACGCGAGCUGGGUUCAGAACGUCGUGAGACAGUUCGGUCCCUAUCUGUCGUGGGCGUAGGAAAUUUGAGAGGAGCUGUCCUUAGUACGAGAGGACCGGGAUGGACGUACCGCUGGUGUACCAGUUGUUCCGCCAGGAGCACCGCUGGGUAGCUAUGUACGGAAGGGAUAAGCGCUGAAAGCAUCUAAGCGUGAAGCCCCCCUCAAGAUGAGAUUUCCCA
rnacentral:rRNA from 1 species